rnacentral:rRNA from 1 species
UCGAGAAUAUUCCUCAAUGGCCGAAAGGCUGAAGGAGCGACGUCGCGUGACUGAAGAAGCCCUUCGGGGUGUAAAGGUCUUUUAUUAGGGAAAAACGUUGAUGGUACCUGAUGAAUAAGAGGUUGCUAACUCUGUGCCAGCAGCAGCGGUAAUACAGAGACCUCAAGCGUUAUCCGGAUUUAUUGGGCGUAAAGGGUCCGCAGGUGGUUUGGUAAGUUCUACCUCAAAUCCAAGUGCUUAACAUUUGGACCGGGUGGAAAACUAUCAGACUAGAGGCCGGGAGAGGUGAGUGGAAUGGCCGGUGUAGGGGUAAAAUCCGUUAAUAUCGGCUAGAACACCAACGGCGAAGGCAACUCACUAGAACGCGCCUGACACUCAUGGACGAAAGCGUGGGGAGCGAACAGG